CAGCAGCUUCCUAUCUGCCUGAAGGAGGGCAUCAGGGUCACAGGUGACAUGGUUCAUCCCUCCCCUUUCUGAUGUCUUCCCUUACUGCCUGCCUCCUUGCUGUGCCUCAGACAAGAGGAAAAAUUUGUAAAAGUCACCUUGGACUGAAGACCAGCAUCAGUUUAUAUGGUGUGAGUUCUUUUCAUUUGCCUUAGAUUGCACCUACACUGACAGAAGAAAGUAAAAAGAUCCAGCAGUUGAGGGAGCACUGGCUUCAUGGUUGAGUCAUCAUUUUGCUAAAUUAUGUAAUAAAUUCAUAAAUACUAACAGUGGAAAAACUAAGCAGUGGAGGGAAAAUCCACUGUUUAUCUUCAUCUCCCAGUCGCCCAGUAUUUCACCAGUGGUAUCAAUUAUGAAAUGUCAGACUCAUAGGGAAUGGGAGACAGAGCUGGUCAAUGAUCUGACCAAGCAUCUGAUGAUGAUAAUGUUUUUAUUAUAUAAGGAGACACUUAAAACUGUAUAAAUAGACAUUUUAUUGUUUUCCUUUAAAUGUGUUUAACUCUAAAAAUGUUUUAGUGCAAAAUGUGUUAGUAGUUAGCAAUUGUUUGUUAUACUAGUGAUCCAACAUCUGUUAACAAUGAGGUUCUGGCAUACCAUCUGUAUUAGUCCAUUCUCAUGCUGCUAUAAAGAACUGCCUGAGACUGGGUAAUUUACAAAGAAAGGAGGUUUAAUUGACUCACAGUUCUGUGGGGCUGGGGACACCUAGAAAAUUUACAAGUAUGGUAGAAGGAGAAGCAAACACAUCCUUCUUCACAUGCUGGCAGGAGAGAGAAUGAGAACCAAGUGAAGCGGGGAGUCCCUUAUAAAACCAUCAAAUCUUGUGAAAACUUACUCAUUAUCAUGAGAAUAGCAUGAGGGUAAUCACCCCCAUGAUUCAAUUAUCUCCCACUGGGUCCCACCCAUGACACUUGGGGAUUAUGGAAACUACAAUUCAAGAUGAGAUUUGGGUGGGGACACAGCCAUACCAUAUCACCAUCCCACAUGAGUAAUUCUGAAGAAAAGGAAGCCAGAGUAACAGGGUAGCAGUCACCCCAAAAUAACCCUGAGACUACAGCUUUGGGCAGAGCAAGCCCUAGGCAAAAGCUAUGAAGUGAGCAGAGCUGUUUAUCCAUUAACUCAUCUGUUCUAUACCCAUCUAUACUGGCUAUGAUAUUCCAACAUUAUGCACAAGGAUAAACAAGAUUUACUUCCUGCCCAAAGAAAUUUACACAUUUUAGCUUCCUUCCUAAAGUCAGCUUCCUGAAUUUUCUACACUUACACACCCAUAAGGCCAGUAUCCUACUGUUCUUUGGCCUCUUGAUUUCCUCCUCUUAUCAAAAACUCUUCUUGAUUAGCUACAAGUUGGGAAUAAACUAAUAGUUAAUUCA